UGGGGAAUUUUGGACAAUGGGCGAAAGCCUGAUCCAGCCAUGCCGCGUGAGUGAAGAAGGCCUUCGGGUUGUAAAGCUCUUUUAGUCGGAAAGAAAGAGUUGCAAUGAAUAAUUGUGAUUUAUGACGGUACGACAGAAAAAGCACCGGCUAACUACGUGCCAGCAGCCGCGGUAAUACGUAGGGUGCGAGCGUUAAUCGGAAUUACUGGGCGUAAAGGGUGCGCAGGCGGUCUUGCAAGUCAGAUGUGAAAGCCCCGGGCUUAACCUGGGAAUUGCGUUUGAAACUACAAGGCUAGAGUGCAGCAGAGGGGAGUGGAAUUCCAUGUGUAGCAGUGAAAUGCGUAGAGAUGUGGAAGAACACCGAUGGCGAAGGCAGCUCCCUGGGUUGACACUGACGCUCAUGCACGAAAGCGUGGGGAGUAAACA
rnacentral:rRNA from 1 species